rnacentral:tRNA from 1 species
AUCUAGUUGGCAGAAUAAUGCACUUGGCUUAGGACCAAAAUAUGAGGAUUUUCCUCACUAGAUA